UAUUAUCUUCAUCAUGAUACAAAAUUAACACAAAUUUAAACCCAAAAGUUAAAAAAGAAAUGCACAUGUUGUGAACUGUGUGAUAGUGUUUCCAACGCUUAGCCCCGUCGCCCUUACCGCCACCAAGCUUCUCCGAUCACCGUUGAGGUCAAUUGUAUCUACUUGUUGUCAAUACUGAUCUCUCUUGAAAGUAAUUGUAUAUCAAAACCUAAAUAUUUUUCAACCUUCCACCUUCAUUUUACUGGAAACUGCUGCAUUGAAGUUUUUUUUUUUUACUCGAUGCUAUUCAACUUUGAGAAAUCUGCAGCCAAAACAAUUAGAAAGGCGCUCAGACCUAUUGAAGAAUCAAUCUCACCAUUUAGUUACAAGAUCCCUUGUCUUCCUUUCUCGCACAUUCAGAGGUUUAAUUAUGUUAAUGUGUACAUGAAAUGGAAAAAAGAUUCAUACUAUGACUCGAUUGAGCACAUUCACCACUCUAUUCAGCUCAAGCCCGUAAUUGCCCUAAAAAACUGCAUUGCCCAAGAUCCCAAUGGGUGCAUCCCUAUCUCUUCAGUGUCAAAGAGGGGAUUGCAGUUAGAUGUGCCUAUGAAGGUUGCAAGAUUUUUGAGGCAAUAUCCAUCCAUUUUUGAAGAGUUUACAGGUCCUAAGUAUAAUCAUCCUUGGUUUAGAUUGACACCUGAAGCUGCUGAGAUUGACAGGGAUGAGAAAAGAGUAUAUGAAGAAAGUAGAGAGGAAUUAAGAUCCAGGUUGAAGAAGAUGAUAUUGAUGACGAAAGAGAAUGUUUUACCUUUGAAGAUAAUUCAGGGGAUGCAAUGGUAUUUGGGGUUACCUCACGAUUUUUUGCAGCACCAUGAACAAAAUCUCGAUGAUUCUUUCAGGUUUGUAGAGAUGGAAGAUGGACUGAAGGGGUUGGCUAUUGAAAGCAGAGAGAGGGUUUAUUCGGUAAUGGAGGAAAAUGCCAUGAAAAAAGGUAUGUACUAUGACGGUUCACAGACGGAAGCGAUUGAAUUUCCUUUUUUUCCAUCGAAGGCUUUAAGGAUGAAAACUAAGAUCGAAAAUUGGCUUCAUGAGUUUCAGAAGCUACCUUAUAUUUCACCAUAUGAUGAUUUCUCGAAUUUGGAUCCAAACAGUGACAUAGCAGAGAAAAGACUUAUUGGUGUUCUUCACGAACUUCUUUCUCUAUUUAUCGAUCAUUCAGCAGAGAGAAGAAAACUCCUUUGCCUCAAGAAGUAUUUUGGCUUUCCACAGAAAGUGCACAGAGCAUUUGAGCGGCAUCCCCAUAUGUUUUACAUGUCUAUGAGGAAUAAAACAUGUACCGUCAUUCUUAAAGAAGCUUAUUGCAAUGAAUUGGCUAUCGAGAAUCAUCCUCUAUUGAGUGUGAGGAAGAGAUACAUCAAGUUGAUGAAGGAAUCGGAAGUGAUUUUAAGGAACAGAAGGAUGAACAGUCGAUUUUCUAAUAGUGAAAAACUCGAUUUAGAGUCAAAUGAUCUGGAUGAAGGGGAACAUAAGAUUGAAGGUUUUUCCUUGGAGCAGGUUAUCUGAAAAUAGUAGUAACAAGAGUUAAGAAUUAGUAGAAAGGCAUAUCAGCUAUUUUUGGUAUGACAUGGUAGCACAUGGUAUUCAGUGCAUCUGGUAUCUUAACCUUGAGUUUGAUGCAGGGCAUUGUAAAAUUAUUCGAAUGCCCUUCUGGCCAUCUGUACAACAGGAAUGAAACUCAAAGCUUUGAUGCUUUCCUUUUUUAGUUGAUGGAAUUUUACAUUCUGUUUUAACAAAUGUUGCUACAUUGUAACAAAUAAUUAUAUAUAUUAUAAUACUAUAGCCAUUAAAGUAGGUUAGUGAUAUAAAGGACAUCACGUCUUUUUCCUUUCU